rnacentral:lncRNA from 1 species
GUUGGAAGAAACUUCAAGAAAUUGCUAUAGGUAUAGCAAAAGGAAUUGAGUAUCUUCAUCAAGGUUGUGAUCAAAGAAUCCUUCAUUUUGAUAUCAAACCUCAUAAUAUUUUACUUGACCACAACUUUAAUCCAAAGAUUUCUGACUUUGGUUUAGCCAAAUUGUGCUCCAAGGAACAAAGUGCAGUCUCUAUGACAAUUGUAAGGGGAACAAUGGGCUAUAUCGCUCCAGAAGUGUUAUCUAGGAAUUUUGGGAAUGUGUCUUAUAAGUCAGAUGUUUAUAGUUUUGGAAUGUUGUUACUUGAAAUGGUUGGAGGAAGGAAGAACAUUGAUGUUAGUGUGGAGAGUACUAGCCAAGUAUAUUUCCCAGAAUGGAUUUAUAAUCAUUUGGAUAUAGGGGAAGAAUUGCAUAUUCGAAUUGAAGAAGAAGGAGACGUUGAAAUUGCAAAGAAAUUAGCAAUUGUGGGACUUUCAUGUAUUCAGUGGUGUCCAGUGGAUCGUCCUUCCAUGAAAAUUGUGGUUCAAAUGUUGGAAGGAGAAGGAGACAAGUUAACCAUGCCUCCUAACCCUUUUGCUUCAACAGUUCCAACAAACUUGAGCAAGCCAGGUAGAGUUUUUCAACAAGAGUUGGCAAUAAUUUCAGAACUAGAGUAAAAAUAAUUGUUUAUAUGUUCAACUUAUUAUGAAUGUAUAGUUUAAUAAAAAUUCAUAUUGUAGUUGUUCAUCAUCAUAGCAUCUUUAUUUAUAUUUCUGUUAAUUGAACAUAUGAUUGUAUAAAAUGAUUAUACUAGUGGCUCAAUUGAUGUUAGAUUCCAGAAGUUCUUAUUCCCAUGUAAUGUAUUUCUUGUGUAUUAAAUUUUAAUGAAUAUGUCCAAGAAUAUUCUCGCAACCCAAUUUAUAGUUCAGCUACACACAACUCUAUAGAUCACCUUUCAAUCAAGUAAGAGUAACUAAUGUCCAUCACAUUCAAGAUAGAAAGUAUUGCACGAAAUAGUAAUAGAAUUAGAUCUAGGAAACUUGAAAAUAAGAGUCCCAUCCACUACACCUAUAUAGAGUUUCUUUUGUUUCUUUUUUCUUCUUCUUCUUUUUUCUUUUUUACCUUUACCACUUUUUUAUUGGAUUGAGAAGUAAGCCUAAUUAGUUAUGUAAUCACUAAAUUAUACUGAAUGGUGAUGGCUCGUUGGAGAACUUUGCAUCGAAUAAAAUGGAGAUCGAUUUCGAUGUGUUUUCUCCUUGCAUGAAACACUGGAUUUGCUGCUAGCUAAGUAGCACUUCGGUUAUGACACCAUAUCAAUGGUGAAGAUAAGGCAUGUAUCCUAACAAUAAAGGAGUUAGAGAGUCAGGUGAAUGCUUGAUCUUGAACUUUAUCAAUACAAAUUACCAAUGGACCAUAUGUACUAGACCACGAAAAAUAUUAGAUUGUGGGAGAAAUGAACCAUAUGAUAUGUGACCAUGUAGUAAUCAUUGAGAAAGGAAAAAAACAUGGACUCAAUAGAUUAUUUAAUAAUAAUAAUAAUAAUAAUAAUAAUAGACUCAAACUCUCUCAAUAUAUGGUAUAUAUUGUUUAACCUAAACAACAAAAAGCCUAGUGGCUGAGGACCUUGUCUUAGCCGAGAGGUCUGAGGGUUCCUCCAUGUGUUUAAGAUUAAUUGCAUUUAGGCCAGAACAUCAAAUCAAUGGAACAAUCUACUUUGUUUCACUAGGCCAAGCCCAAUGGUAGGUCCAUAGCCAGAGCUUGGAUCAUGUGCUAGUCAGGCUGGGUUAGGCCUAAUACAGACCUAAUUUGAUCAUGGCAGCCCAAUAAGAUAAUGGAUUCUUUCCUAGCUACUUACAAUCAAUAUUUUUCUUUAUUUUCUUCAUAUUUUUCCAAGGAUAUGAACCUAAAAAUACAAAGUAAUACAAUUGCUAUUCAAGCAUUCCUUUGGGAUAUGGAAAUAUUUAAUAAAAGAACAUUACUAAGAUUAUUGAAUAUAGAUGAUUUUCUUAAUUUAUUUUUUCAUAUCCAAGUGGACCAUACUAACCCUAAAUUUUCCAAGCAAUUCAUCUUUAUUUCAACUCUCAAUAAUUACAAUUGUGUAAAAAACUCCAUAAACAUCAUUUUUCUAGUUUUAAUAGUUAUCCACAUGGAUGACUUUUCCCUUAUAUCUAAGAUGAGAAAUUAGAUGUUAAUGGUCAAUCGAAUCGCCGAGUGUUAUCGUACCUACCAAUUGGAUCACUAUAUACAAUGGUAUAGAAUAAGGAUAGAGGUUUCUCCACAUUCCUUUUACAUAGAGUUUCAUUUUUAUUUUAGUUUUUGUCAUAAAAUAUGAUGAAUUUGUGUCUGAGGGAGUCAUGGAGACAGCAAGUUAUUAUGAAACAUAGUGUAACUAUGAUACAUAAUAGGGAUUAGAAGGGUAUGUUGGAAUUUCCACUACAAGUUAGGAUAGAGUUAGCAGUAGAAUUGGUACUACCUCAAAAGUAAAAAUGUAGAAUACAAGAAAGAAACCAAAAGAUAAGGUUGAGGCCUAGCAUAAAAUUAAUUAGAUUAAAAUCAUAUCACAUGAACAUGUAAUUUAGCAUUUUUUUUUAAUUCCAAGAGCAUAACAAGCUAAUUACUUUUUUUCUUAAUUUUUUAUAGGUGUAUCGAAGAAAAUAAUUGUGACAGGUAAUAUUCUAUUCAUACAUAUUUUAUUAUAGAGAUAAAGAUUCUUAAUUUGGUUAUUUUAUCUAUUUAUUUAUAUAAAAAAGUUUAAGUUUUCUUCUUCUUAUGUACGCAAGUGCAAUCUUUGGUUUCUUUCUUCUCGUGUUAGUGAUUAUUAUGCUUUCUCGUGUCUAUAGCUCAGAUAAAGUAGAAAGAGAUAAUAGAGUAACGUUUAAAAAGUUUCUAGAAGACUAUGAAGCUCUCAAACCCUCAAGAUACUCCUAUGCUGAUGUUAAAAGGAUUACAAGUCAAUUCAAAGAUAAAUUAGGCCAAGGAGGAUAUGGAACUGUGUACAAAGGAAAGCUUUCAGAUGAAGUUUUUGUUGCAGUAAAAAUCCUUAACAAUUCUCAAGGAAAUGGGGAAGAGUUCAUCAAUGAAGUGGCAAUAAUGGGUACAAUCCACCAUGUUAAUAUAGUUCGCUUAAUUGGAUUUUGUGCUGAUAGAUUUAAACGAGCUCUAAUUUAUGAGUACUUACCAAAUGAGUCAUUAGAGAAGUUCAUAUUUUCAAGAGCUAUUAAGAACUAUUUACUUAGUUGGAAGAAACUUCAAGAAAUUGCUAUAGGUAUAGAGAAAGGAAUUGAGUAUCUUCAUCAAGGUUGUGAUCAAAGAAUCCUUCAUUUUGAUAUCAAACCUCAUAAUAUAUUACUUGAUCACAACUUUAAUCCAAAGAUUUCUGACUUUGGUUUAGCCAAAUUGUGCUCCAAGGAACAAAGUGCAGUCUCUAUGACAGU